CCUACGGGGGACAGCAGUGAGGAAUAUUGGUCAAUGGGCGCAAGCCUGAACCAGCCAAGUCGCGUGAGGGAUGACGGUCCUAUGGAUUGUAAACCUCUUUUGUCGGGGAGCAAGGCCCGCCACGUGUGGCGGGAAGGAGAGUACCCGAAGAAAAAGCAUCGGCUAACUCCGUGCCAGCAGCCGCGGUAAUACGGAGGUUGCGAGCGUUAUCCGGAUUUAUUGGGUUUAAAGGGUGCGUAGGCGGAAGGUUAAGUCAGCGGUAAAAUGUCGGUGCUCAACACCGGCCUGCCGUUGAAACUGGUCUUCUUGAGUGAGCGAGAAGUAUGCGGAAUGCGUGGUGUAGCGGUGAAAUGCAUAGAUAUCACGCAGAACUCCGAUUGCGAAGGCAGCAUACCGGCGCUCAACUGACGCUGAGGCACGAAGGCGUGGGGAUCGAACAGGAUUAGAUACCCGAGUAGUC
rnacentral:rRNA from 1 species